GCAGCAACGCCGCGUGAGGGACGACGGCCAAUGGGCGUAAACCUCUUUUAGCAAGGAAGAAGCGAAAGCGACGGUACUUGCUUAAAAAGCGCCGGCAACACGAGCCAGCAGCCGCGGUAAUACGUAGGGCGCAAGCGUAUCCGGAAUAUUGGGCGUAAAGAGCUCGUAGGCGGUUUGUCGCGUCUGCUGUGAAAACUGGGGGCUCAACCCCCAGCCUGCAGUGGGUACGGGCAGACUAGAGUGCGGUAGGGGAGAUUGGAAUUCCUGGUGUAGCGGUGGAAUGCGCAGAUAUCAGGAGGAACACCGAUGGCGAAGGCAGACCUCUGGGCCGUAACUGACGCUGAGGAGCGAAAGGGUGGGGAGCAAACAGGCUUAGAUACCCUGGUAGUCCACCCCGUAAACGUUGGGAACUAGUUGUGGGGUCCAUUCCACGGAUUCCGUGACGCAGCUAACGCAUUAAGUUCCCCGCCUGGGGAGUACGGCCGCAAGGCUAAAACUCAAAGGAAUUGACGGGGACCCGCACAAGCGGCGGAGCACGCGGAUUAAUUCGAUGCAACGCGAAGAACCCUACCAAGGCUUGACAUAUACUAGAACGGGCUAGAGAUAGUCAACUCUUUGGACACUC
rnacentral:rRNA from 1 species